UAUUUCUAUCUCCCUCUCCCCUCUCAAUUUCUCUGUCCUAUCAAAUAAAAUGGUGGCCAGGAGCUGUGGAUUGGUAGUGUGGCACUGAGCCCCAGCAAUAACCUUGGAUGCAAGAGGAGAAAAAAAAGAUCUUUCAGAGUAUCUUAAGAUACUUAGUCACAGCUCCAUUACCAUAACUUUUAAACAGUUUCUUCAGACAUCUUAAUAGUGUUUUAUAACACAUUUUAAUUUCAAGAAUUAGAUAAAGUUAAAAUUAUAAAAGGCUGCUAUUUUAACUGCUAUUCUGUCCUAGUUUCUGAAAUCCUAGGUGAUAUUACUAAAACCCAGGCCAUGACUUGUGACUUGUAUUUAAUUCAUUAAGAUCUUGGGUUCGAGGCCCUGCUCCCCACCUGCAGCGGGGAAGCUUCAUGAGCAGUGAAGCAGGUCUGUAGGUGUCUUUCUCUGUCUCCCCAUCCUCUCUUCUCUGUCCUAGCAAAUAAAGGGGGUGGGGGGUAUAGCCACCAGGAACAAUGGAUUUGCAGUGCCAGCACCGAGCCCCAACAAGUGGAGGCAAAGUGAAGAGAGUCAAGGCUUCACUGUGAGGCAAACUGUUUCCUCUGAAAAGGGCUCACUCUAUAGGCUACUUUGCUAGAAGGCAGUUCUUCCGAAAUCCAUAAAGCAGGGGACACAGGACUCGUGUGAGGUCCCCAAGUUGGAUCUCUAGCACAGCAGGUACCAAGAGUGGUGCUCUGGUUCUCUCAUUAGUGAAAAGCAGAGCCUAUGUAAGGAGUUCUUCACAAAGAGACGUCCAUCUUAAAAUUUGAGGAAGACUCCAAACUUAGCAUUAAGUUAUUUUUUAACUGUGUGAAAUAAGGCUAAGUCACAAGUUUUGAAUAUAUCAAUCUCUUGAUAAUACAAAUGGAGUUAACAAUUUCUAAUUUUAAACAACAUUUAAAUACACAUAACAAGUACAGAGAUAACCAGGUAAGAAAGGGAACUGUAUCUUUCAAAUAAAAGCAAGGGUCUCUC